GAGAGGGUGAAGAUGGCGGUGGAGGGAAGAGUGGCCCUGGGAGAACUUCAGGAGUGAACUAAACCUGCCAGACUUUGCUCCCCGUGUGCUGCAGAAAACCAUGCAAGUGAAUUAAAUAUCCACAUGCCCAUGGGAGACUGGUUUGGAAGAUUGGAUCCUGUGAUGAACGGUCGCAGCUCCAGGCCAGCUUUAUUCCCAGACCGGCCACGCUGAUGGAUGUAGGUCAGCUGCAGCAUCUCUGGACCUCACAACCUCUCACCAUCAAGAAUAGUGGGAUAUCACCCGCCUCUGUCCUGGAACGUGUACCCAAGGAAUG